rnacentral:rRNA from 1 species
UACGGAGGGAGCUAGCGUUGUUCGGAAUUACUGGGCGUAAAGCGCACGUAGGCGGCUUUGUAAGUUAGAGGUGAAAGCCCGGGGCUCAACCCCGGAAUUGCCUUUAAGACUGCAUCGCUUGAAUCCGGGAGAGGUGAGUGGAAUUCCGAGUGUAGAGGUGAAAUUCGUAGAUAUUCGGAAGAACACCAGUGGCGAAGGCGGCUCUCUGGGACGGUACUGACGCUGAGACGCGAAAGCGUGGGGAGCGAACAGG